GCCUGAAUCAGAGGAAGGAUCUGAUGUAGAGGAGCAACCUGCCAGUAGAUUGGAAAUGACUCUUCAGACUGGUGUUCUUGUGCACAAAUGCCCCAGGAGAAAGAAAAUAUGUUGCCAAUAAAUACCUCAGGUCAUAAAAAGAAUGACCCAGGUUCCUGAGGAGAUAACCUGUAUGACUCACCAUCCUGGCCAUCAUCCGGUGUGCCUCAAUAAAUAUUCUUUGCAAAAUGCAAUGAAUAUUUACAGAGUUGACCAUGGCCAGUUGAGAAUCAGAGGGAUGGAAAGGCCAUGCAGACCCAGGGCCUAUAGGACUUGGUGAGCUGGUGCUGGGUUUUCUUGGUAGAAGUGUCCGUGUCGUGAUCCCCUCUUGUGUCGUGC